rnacentral:rRNA from 1 species
GACGUAGGGCGCGAGCGUUGUCCGGAUUUAUUGGGCGUAAAGAGCUCGUAGGUGGUUUGUCGCGUCGGCCGUGAAAUCUCCACGCUUAACGUGGAGCGUGCGGUCGAUACGGGCAGACUUGAGUUCGGUAGGGGAGACUGGAAUUCCUGGUGUAGCGGUGAAAUGCGCAGAUAUCAGGAGGAACACCAGCGGCGAAGGCGGCGCUCUGGGCUGGCACUGACGCUGAGGAGCGAAAGCGUGGGUAGCGAACAGG